UAAAUAGAAAAAACCAAAAUAUUUCGAGUUUUCUAAAUAGAAAAAGCUAGUUUUUGAAACCUCCCCAAAUACGAUUUUCAACCCGACCGUUAUUCCACGACGGCGUUGUUUGGUGUGAGGAAGGCAACCUUGAGAUUGGGUGGCGGUGCGGCGGUGAUAGAGUGUUCGUCGCGACCACAGAAGGAGGCAAUGUCUCACCACAUGAAAACUCGCCCGCGUAAAACCCAGCCAUGGGAUAUUAAGCGUCACCCCACAGUGUAUGCUCCGCUGCCUCCUCUGCCACACAAGUGGACUGUCAUUUCAUCUGAUGCUAAGCAUCUGAUGCAGUUGUUCCUCCUCCAACACCCCAACCUGCAACUGAGUAGUGCUGGUUUCUAUCAUACGGAUCCAACAUUAUUGUAAUGGAAGAGCAGGAAGUUGUAGGGGCUGCUAGAGAUGAUGUUCGAGCAGUGGAAGAGAUAGACCCAGCAUGCCUAAGUUAUAUUUAUUGCUUCUUGAAAAUUGUGGUCACAAGGUAGGAAGGAUUUGGCACUAUUGAUUCAGAGAAACAACUUGUGGUGCAUUGGUUGAAUUCUGUUCAGCCUUUGAUUUUUGUUCUAUGGUUUAAUCGGCAGCGCAGAAAGAACAGGAAGAAAAAGACAUAAUAGUGAUGCGCAUAUGUCACAGAAUAUGCCAACGGAUCAGAUACUGAAACCGAGAGGAAGGUCUCUUUGUCUUCUAAACUAUAUUUGUUGGCGACCUGUUUGAGACUUCUCUCCGUAAUAAUAGUAAUGCUAUCAUAUCAUUAGAAUAUGAUUAAAAUCACAAGAAA